AAUGGCGUAACGAGAUGGGAGCUGUCUCAAAGAGGGAUCCAGUGAAAUUGUAGUGGAGGUGAAAAUUCCUCCUACCCGCGGCAAGACGGAAAGACCCCGUGGACCUUUACUACAGCUUGACACUGCUACUUGGAUAAAGAUGCGCAGGAUAGGUGGGAGGCUUUGAUCCAUAGACCCUGGUUUAUGGUGAGCCAUUGUUGAGAUACCACUCUUCUUUAUUCGGGUAGCUAACUAGCCUAAGUUAUCCUUAGGUAGGACAAUGUCUGGUGGGUAGUUUGACUGGGGCGGUCGCCUCCCAAAAUGUAACGGAGGCUUACAAAGGUUGGCUCAGAACGGUUGGAAAUCGUUCGUAGAGUAUAAAGGCAUAAGCCAGCUUAACUGCGAGACAUACACGUCAAGCAGAGACGAAAGUCGGUCUUAGUGAUCCGGUGGUUCUGUGUGGAAGGGCCAUCGCUCAAAGGAUAAAAGGUACCC
rnacentral:rRNA from 1 species